rnacentral:lncRNA from 1 species
AAAAGAAUUAGCAAAAUUAAGCUUUAAGGUUUAGUUGCUUUUGUCUCCAUGUUGUCCAAGGGUUAUGUCGGCCAUGAUCCUAAUAUUAUCAUGGGUUUAGCAGAGUUGUUUAACUUGCAAACUGGAUUGAAGAUUUUGAAUAAAUUUUUGUGUUCUUAAUAUGGUCACAAGUUUGUACUUGUUUAAAACCCUCAAUCAUUUGAAAAUUAUGGCGCCGACAUGGUAGAUGUCCUAGAAAAAACUGGUAGUAACUCAAUGUAGAUACACAUAGUCGAUGGAGUUACUUGCUAAUAACUGGCAAUAAGACAUAUUUGCUUCAAAUGAUGCCUUUAAAGUUUGAAAAGAUUUUUUCUAAUUCAAAUGUCGACUUUUUGUUACAUGAAAAAAGAUACUUAUUUCAACCGCUCAACUAUAUUGAUACACUUAGUAUGUGGAGUUACUUGUCAAUAGCUGGCGAUGAAACUUUUAAACGUAACGUCUUUAAGGGCUGAGAAGGUAAAAAUUAGAAGUCUGCAGACUGCAACGUAAAUCGAUUUCAACACGUUAUGGCUUCUCGAAUAUAUUUAGUUUCCGAUUGAAAUGAGAAUAAACUGAACUUAUAUAUAAAGUGUUUACAAUUAACUUUUUAAACUAGAAAUACUCCAAAGGAGGUUCUCCAAACGCAAGUUAAGCAAAGUCGAUAGAUGUUAAUAUCUUUUAUAUUAUGUUUUAGAUAUAAAAAAAAAUUUUUGUUACUUUAAUAUUUAUGUUAUAAUUGUAAAUUGCAAUCUUAAAAGGAUUUUAUUAUUACUUCA